rnacentral:lncRNA from 1 species
GAAGAAGUCUGCAGUUGCACACGACACUGCCUGCGGAAAUGAGAAACGUUUAUUAGAUGUACAUGUGGAUUGCGGGUCGAAUACAUACCGUACCAGAUAAUACUAGUGUAAGGUGAUGCCACAGUCAUCGGUGUUAUAAAAGCACUUAACGGACAACUUCAACUAAGGCCGAAGACUCUGCGAGAGAUAUCACAGGGUUUAGUUCGCGAUUGUUGAGAUAGCUGUGGCUGACUAAGAGAUCACAAAAUACCAUGGAAUGGAGAGACACAUAGAGCCGUAUAUAUCGUAGGCGCAUAUGGAAACUGUGUGACUGCCGGAGCAAGCGCUCACCUUAUAGAUCUCUGUGUUUGUGUCAAAAGGGUUCCGGUACCGAAAGGUUAGAACGCAUUCCAUUCCGAUGGUCAGCCAGGAAAAAACGACUUCAUUUUACCUCAGCCACGAGGUUUCAUAUUAUGAAUAUCGAAUAUUGAGUUGAACACUUGUACACGCUUGAACCUGUAUUGCAGUCAGUGCGGGUAAAUUAAUAAGGGUGAGCUAACCCAGCGAACGUUGCAAUGUUUUAGUACAAUUAAGUGAUCAAGAACAGGUUGAUUGGUUUUCGUUUUCUCAAUAGCAAUAGUACAAAACGUUUGCGUCGUAGCAUAAGAUUCCCACGUUAAUUAUCAUAACAUAAUGUAACCUGUAGAUAUUUACACUGCAUAGUUUGAAAUGCCCUAAAACUGCGAAGUGUUUUAAAAACGUGGACAAAAUAUGUUUAAAUCGACGAAUGAUCACGAGUAACUUGCCGGUACACACUCUCUAUAUUGGGUUCCAACAUCAAGUCCUAACCAUAAAUCAGUUCCUUCAGCAGAGACCAAUGCUUACUUAAAUCGAUCUACAAGCUUCAUUUUGAACUAUUUUAUUAUAUAUAUAUAAAUCACGAUCUUGAGAAUAUUCGAGAUUAGCGUAAAGCCUUAUCAAACUUUAAAAAAAGUCUAGUCCUAUGACCAUGCGGUGAGAUAAUUUGAGCUUGAUCUGGCCAUUUUGCUUUCAGUAGGGAUAUCAGCUAUAUGUUAGAAACAAUCAAUCAAACCCAACUGCAGGCUGGGUUUGAACCUGCAGUUCAAACACUGCACAACAAACAGAAUGCGCUAGCUAUAGCAGGAAUAUUUGUUUACGCAAAGCUCAUACUCUUUGCGAUUAUGUUAAGAUUGGCCGAAAAAUAUUGAUUUUAUUAUUUUUUACAGCAAAUAAAUGGAUAAGAUCUGGUGAUUUGAUGUCAAUCUGGGACAAUUAUUUCUAAAGCGUUUGGAUGCUUCGUGAAAAACGAAGUCGUGCACUGUCAAUUGGACUGAUGAAGGCAAAAAAAUCGGGUCAUUAAGAAGCUAAACUGAUCUGUUAACGAUACGUGUUUUGUUAACAAAAAUAUGGCAGUGCAAAGCAUCUUUCAUAUUAUGCCAAUAUUAUUUAGGUAAACAGGUAUUAACAUACACCCUAAAAAGCUCGUGGACAGGUUUUUUAUAAGCCACUAUCGACCCCGAUCGUUUUUUAAGAGUUUUUUUUUUAUCUGAUAGACUCUAUUGCUUUUCGAAAGUUAUAUAAUAUAUAAUAGUUCAGUAAUAUAAAACGCCAAUUAGGUACAAAGCCUAGGUGAGAUCGAAGUAAAAUAAGAUGAUUUGGGAUGUCAUACACGUAACUUAUUUUGAGAAUUCCGUUCUGUUAGACGAUAUCGGAAUCUCUUUAUAGAGAUUUUGUAUUUAUAUGCAUUUAAAUGUGUUAGUGUACGCAGAAACUUAGAUAUUUCGGAUAAAAUAUAUUUCUGUAUUUCUGUGUGCGUUAGCGAAAUUGUGUUGAGUAGAGCAAAAGUAAAACCGGUAUCACUAAAACGCAACAUCAACGUAACGUUUAAGACAUUUAUAUACUGGAAUUCUAAAUUUAAGUGAAACGUUUCGGAUCACUUAGAGCUCACUAUGGAGUUGGCCUUUUCCAUGUGACAAAGGUUCUUUUUUUUGUGUAUUUUGGCUGUUUGAUCGGGUAAUUUUUGAGUUUUCGUUCGCUAGCCUACAGCCAUGCAUCUUAUUAUAAAUAAACCAUCAGUUCUUCCUGAGCUAACAAACUAUGCUUAAUGGGUGGUGGUUAUAACGACUAGAUAUCACUUACACACUACACUCAGGAUCGCUUUGCAGGACCUCAUUUGGCUGUAACAUUGAGAAAAGUGUAGACGGUCAAGUAUCCCAUAGUUCCAAGGUCGAAAUGAUAUUACCGUCCUCUAUGUAUAGAAUUACAAAAAUGCGCACCUCUGACCUUCUUGUAGUCCUAUUAGUUAAUCAUACCAGCUGCAAAAGUUCACGCUGUUAACAAUUCGUUUUUAUGGUGGACCGCCUGAGCUUGCUAGCGCAAAGACAAAGACAAUCCAUUUCAACAGAGGACUUGUAUUAUGUUGUAUUUAUAUGUAAUUAGCAUCGGCGUUUACAAGCUAAACGUUCGAAGUAAUAUCUUAAAGAACUGCUUUCUUUGCGGAUCGGAAAGACGAGUGACGGAUAAACGCAUGAUUGCUUGGAUCCGACAACUCUCUAUUCCUGUGGAUUUCUAAAUAGCCAUUUUUAGUUUGACCAGUGUGCCAUACUGUCAAGUAUCCAGCAAGUGGAACUGAUAAAAUGCUAAAAAGCUUUUGGCUGUAAUAAACAGUGGAGCCCACAAGAAGCACUCUGGUACUGGUCGUACUGAUGGUAUCUUUAAGCGCGCACCUUUUUUUCACAUCUUUAGGACACGCGACGAUCGAAGGCAGCAGUAGAAGGAGCUGUACGUUCGUAUUAGCAAAAUCCAAAAAUCGAUCAAUCAGUCAAUGGAACAGUUUUAGUGAGAUCGGCUUCCGAUAGGUUUAGUUCCCAUAAAAAAAAAAAAAACAUUUUUUCCAUUCAGUUUUUGUCUGGCAAUGGCAGUCAUCUGCAACAAAAUUUUGGUUAGACGCGUCAUUGCAUAAUGCAGUGGACCUAUGUGGGAUGACCAUUUAAAGUAGAUUCUAUAAAGAGUAGAUUCUAAAAAAAAUUAUAGUGAGUUAAUACUCAUUAUUAUUCAUGUGGCAAGCGGACGGAGUUGAACACAUUUGAUAACGAGUAUAAUUUCUUUCUAGGAAGCAAUUAUGGUAAUUAUCAAUCUGUAAAUAAAUAUCGUUAUUUAUUAUUCUAUGAACUAAUGAACAUGAUUUACAUUACAACAUUUACUGUUCCAUAAAUUAAACACAAUACAUUUUGUUGAGAGGAACCAGGCGUGCUACUAACUUUACUUCAUAUAUUAACGUGAAGAACAAUAAUAAUCGUCGAUAUUAUACGAAUGUGCUAUAAUGAACAAUCGACUGGUUGACUGAUAUUAGAAAAAAAAAAAAGAUAUUAACUGCUUUAUUAGGUAAUCCAUUAGCUGUACAGGGUAUUUUCUUACUUCCUCGUUUUCUUGGCAAUUGCAUACUAAACACAGAAAAAAUUAAAGACUAUACAAAUAUAUUUAGAUAAAAUUUAGAACGUAAAUAUUCUUUUUUAUGCGUCUAAUGUAGCUGAACCUAAAUUUAAGUGCCUAUAGUUCGUCUAAACUUAAAGAUUCUGCUUUAGUUCCUCGUUCUGCAACAGUUUUCUAUACAUCACUAAUUAAUUUAGGUCACGUUCUCACGCAGCUUGUCCACUGAAUUUGGAAACAAACUAGCUGGUCUAGCUUUGGAAUCGCGCGUGGGUGGGCUACAUUCUAGGUAUUGUUUGCUUUAGCAGAAACGUGCUUAAACUUAAAGAUAUCUGAGGUAAUAGAGGUCUAAAACCGCAUAUAAAGGUUAAUUUUGUGUUACGUACCAGCAUCUGAAACAAUGUAUAACGGCAGUAGAACCAGACGUGCAAGCUAAAGCAGUUGUUUAGGUUAUAUGAUUUCUCUGUUUUAUUUAGAGCGCAUGGAUAUCACACGAACGAAGCGAUGUGUGUGGCUUGCAGACAAUACCAUACUGUGGAAAUACCCGUUAAAGGAUAUGUGUCACUAGUUAAUUUGAGCUUUAAGCUAUGUCAGAGCGCUUGCGUAAUAGUGUAAGGGCCUUACUAAAAUCUGGAACGUUGCCUUUUGUGUAGCUUGUUUUUCAAUAGAGAUGAAUAUUUAGAGAAGGACACGUAUUGCAAAGGAAAACGGGAUAAAAAAUAUUUGAAAAAAAACCUUCUUUCACCGCUGUGUAAAUCUCUUAAGGAACUGCUGGAGUCUUAAGGGAUGGUUAUCUCCUUUUUAAAAAUAU